GACGAACGCUGGCGGUGUGCUUAACACAUGCAAGUCGAACGGUAAGGCCCUUUCGGGGGUACACGAGUGGCGCACGGGUGAGUAACACGUGAGUAACCUGCCCUCAUCUCUGGGAUAACAGUCGGAAACGGUUGCUAAUACUGGAUAUGAGCUUGCAAGGCAUCUUGUGGGUUGGAAAGAUUUUUUUUGGUUGGGGAUGGACUCGCGGCCUAUCAGCUUGUUGGUGGGGUAGGGGCGCACCAAGGCUUCGACGGGGAGCCGGCCUGAGAGGGCGACCGGCCACAUUGGGACUGAGAUACAGGCCACACUCCGGAGGGAGGCAGCAGUGGGGAAUAUUGCACAAAGGACGGAAGUCUGAGGCAGCAACGCCGCGGGCGGGAUGACGGCCUUCGGGUUGUAGACCGCUUUCAAUUGUGACGAAGCGUUUUUGUGACGGUAGCAGUAGAAGAAGCACCGGCUAACUACGUG
rnacentral:rRNA from 1 species